rnacentral:rRNA from 1 species
UACGGAGGGGGCUAGCGUUGUUCGGAAUUACUGGGCGUAAAGCGCACGUAGGCGGCUUUGUAAGUUAGAGGUGAAAGCCCGGGGCUCAACCCCGGAAUUGCCUUUAAGACUGCAUCGCUUGAAUCCGAGAGAGGUGAGUGGAAUUCCGAGUGUAGAGGUGAAAUUCGUAGAUAUUCGGAAGAACACCAGUGGCGAAGGCGGCUCACUGGCUCGGUAUUGACGCUGAGGUGCGAAAGCGUGGGGAGCAAACAGG